UCAAAGAGAAGAGACUGAGUCACUGAGAUAUGGGGAGUAGAGAGGAGUGUGGAGCUACAGAGAUGGAUAAAAAGAGACUGACAGAAGAGAGUGAGCACACGCUCUCAGGUGAUUGUAUGAGGGCAUGCAAUUGCGGGUGCGUGCUCACUUCUCUAUCUGUCAGUUACUUGUUCUCUUAGCUUCCUUCUCUUCCUCCCUUUCUCUGUGUCUAAACUCUAUUCUCGUGCCUUUUUAUUUUCGGUUCUUACUCUCUAAUUAUUUUUCUUUAUUGUUAUUAUUAUAUGUCUCAACUCUCAUGUAUAUAUGUAUUUUCUGGAACUGAUGAACCCUGAUAAUUAAUUAUUAUUAGUUCGCAGCACACUUGAAUAUGACAUACGAAUAGGUUUUUGACACAUGCUCCUGUGGGUGGUGGUGGUGGGAGGUUCAAAGCGUGACUUUUGAUGGUACUUUCUUUUCAUUGGGAUGGAACAAGAAGGGUUGAAGUCGAAACCCAAAUCCAAAUUGAGUUCGUCAAGGCUGUUGUACGGUUUGUCGAUUCAGUGUUUUUACUUAACUGUUCAUAUCUUAACGGAAAAAAUCAAUGUUGAAAGGAAGUUUUAUGAUCUUAAACCGUUGCUUUUUCAUACUAUUGUCCGUCUUCUUGUUCCUUCUUAUCAACCAUGCUACUAUUUUCAUUCUCCAACUUCAAUCUG